GCUUAGAACUGGUAGCCUGCUGACUCUUAAUCAGCGGGUCCAAGGUUCGAGUCCUUGGCGAGGCA
rnacentral:tRNA from 1 species